AGAAUUUGGGAAAUAAGCUGAAGAUGUUCCCUAGUCCCCACUUUACAGAUGAGAAGAGGGAGGUGGGAAAUAUUAAUUUCAUACAGACUGAUGCCUAAAGAUGACAAUUGUUUCUUUCCACUCUAAAUAAAGGAUUCCAUCUGCUGAACCACGAGGAAGGCAGAUUCAGUAUCACAACCCUGUUUCAAGCUCAAUGUGGCUGGAUCUCACCUGCCACAGCCACUAUGUAAUGAUCCUCAGAACUCAGCUUUCUCAUCUAUAAAACGAUCCCGGCUCACCGCAACCUCUGCCUCCCAGGUUCAAGCGAUUCUCCUGCAUCAGCCUCCCAAGUAGCUGGGAUUACAGGCAUGUGCCACCAUGCCCAGCUAAUUUUGUAUUUUUAGUAGAGACGGUGUUUCUCCAUGUUGGUCAGACUGGUCUCAAACUUCCAACCUCAAGUGAUCCACCCUCCUUGGCCUCCGACAGAACCUGAUACAUCUAGGAUGAUAUACCUCUGCCAAUCUGAUCAUCAUAGAGUCUAUGAAAUUUGUGGAAUAGGGUGGCCUUUGCAAUUUAUGAAUUCAACAGUCACCCAAAAAAUAUCAUUCCCACAAUGUGAUCUGAAUUCAAUUCUCUAACUUACCUUGCAUCAGAAGAAAACUAAAUUACAAGCUGGAAAGUCAACAGCAGUAUCCACUAAAGAUUAUAUAUAACAGCAGAGUAGGAACAAACAGAAUGUUAAGAUACAUCUCUGGGGCACCAAGGAUCAAAGCUGGG
rnacentral:lncRNA from 10 species